rnacentral:tRNA from 1 species
CAAAAAGUAGUUUAUAAAAAAUAAUAACAUUGGAAGUUAUUGAUCAAUAAAAAAAUUAUAUUUAUUGUUUUUUGA